UACGUAGGCAGCGAGCGUUGUUCGGAAUUACUGGGCGUAAAGAGUGUGUAGGCGGUGCUCUAAGUUUGGUGUGAAAUCUCCCGGCUCAACUGGGAGGGUGCGCCGAAUACUGAGAGGCUAGAGUGUGGGAGAGGAAAGUGGAAUUCCUGGUGUAGCGGUGAAAUGCGUAGAUAUCGGGUAGAACACCAGUGGCGAAGGCGGCUAUCUGGACGGACACUGACGCUGAGACGCGAAAGCGUGGGGAGCAAACAGG
rnacentral:rRNA from 1 species